rnacentral:rRNA from 1 species
UACGUAGGGACCGAGCGUUGUCCGGAAUCAUUGGGCGUAAAGAGCGUGUAGGCGGCCACUUAAGUCCUGCGUGAAAUCUUGCGGCUCAACCGCAAGCGGUCGUGGGAAACUGGGUGGCUAGAGUGCGGGAGAGGAGAGUGGAAUUCCUGGUGUAGCGGUGAAAUGCGCAGAUAUCAGGAGGAACACCGAUGGCGAAGGCAGGUCUCUGGGCCACUACUGACGCUGAGAAGCGAAAGCAUGGGGAGCGAGCAGG